GGAAGGAGAGACGGGGAGGGCCGGGCGUCGGGACCCCGGGCUCUCAGUCACCCUCUGCAGACAGUCUGGGUCCCCCUGAGCAGAGGGCGAUCUUCCGGGUGGGCCUGCGCCCCUGGACACGAGGGGCGGUGCGGGGCCUUGCCGUCGCCCCGGGGCAGCCGUUUCCAGCUGCGAGCACGGCCCUCGUCCACCCUCGCCUGUGCUCCCCGGGCCGGCCCUCACCUCCAGCCAGAAACGAAAGCAUUUCACAACCUCUGUGGCUUUGGGCCGGGUUUGCAUGGCGUCCCGGGGAAGAGGGAACACGGGGCCGGGGUGUCUCCGGGAAACAGGGGCGUCCCUCCCGGAACACGCAGGGUGGGCUCCGUGUCUGUGACGGCUCUGGUGCGCCUGUCUGCAGGGCGGGGGAACCUCUCUGGAGACCCAUCAAUUUGGGGAAGUGGUGAGGCCAGGGGAGGGCUGGGCGGGGUUUUCAGAGAAGGGCAAGGGAGGGAGCCGAAGCUGUCUCAGGUUCCAGAACAGGCCCCACCCCUGGGGCAGGACAGGGCGCGGGGUGGGGGGGGGGCAGGCCCAGAGCAGGCCCCUCUCCUCACAUUCUGCACCACCCCGCCCCAUGGGGGCAGCCCCUGUGCACAUCCGGCCCUGAGCCCGUCCUUACUCAGGCUCAAGGCCCGCGGGCCAGCAGGGAGGACCCUGCAGAGUGCGGUCACGGCUGAUGCCCCCCGGAAUUCUCGGUCCAGCACGACAGACACCUGCUCCUGCCUCGGCCUGGAUCCUGGAGCCCAGUGCAACGUUGGGGGGGCCCUGACCAAAGGGACAUCUGCUUUCCAGGACAUGGCCCAGACGGUCCUGCCUGGGCAGGGUCGCCUCCCACUUCUGCCUGGCCCCGGGGGACGGUCCUCCCGGUGCAGGAAGGGACCUUCUUGGGGAGCCAGAGCACUCUGGACUCAGCCGCUCUCAUCUGGCUGCACCCCAAUGUCCGCCAACACCGUGGGACAGACCCACAGAGGACCCCGGAGCCACUCGGCGGAUGCAGGAAGGCAUUCCGCGUCCUCCCAGCCCCCACCCCCGGGGAUAAACACCCUCAGCAAGUGA
rnacentral:lncRNA from 1 species